GUAGGGGGCAAGCGUUGUCCGGAUUUAUUGGGCGUAAAGAGCUCGUAGGCGGUUCGGUAAGUCGGAUGUGAAAUCUCCAGGCUCAACCUGGAGGGGUCAUUCGAGACUGCCGUGACUAGAGUUCGGUAGGGGAGUGUGGAAUUCCUGGUGGAGCGGUGAAAUGCGCAGAUAUCAGGAGGAACACCCGUAGCGAAGGCGGCACUCUGGGCCGAUACUGACGCUGAGGAGCGAAAGCGUGGGGAGCGAACAGGAUUAGAUACCCUGGUAGUCCACGCCGUAAACGUUGGGCACUAGGUGUGGGACUCUAUCGACGGGUUCCGUGCCGUAGCUAACGCAUUAAGUGCCCCGCCUGGGGAGUACGGCCGCAAGGCUA
rnacentral:rRNA from 1 species